UGUGUGCCUCUAUUGGUCUUUUAGAGGCACCUUAAUGAGAAAUAGGGGCGGCUCGGGGGCAUUUGUAUUCAAUUGCUAGAGGUGAAAUUCUUGGAUUUAUUGAAGACAAACUACUGCGAAAGCAUUUGCCAAGGACGCUUUCAUUGAUCAAGAACGAAGGUCGGGGGAUCGAAAACGAUUAGAUACCGUUGUAGUCUCGACAGUAAACUAUGCCAACCGGCGAUGGGUGGGGGCUUUUUUAAUGACCCCAUCUGCAGCCAAAGAGAAAUCUUGAGUGCGGUUCGUGGGGGAGUACGGUCACAAGGCUGAAACUUAAAGGAAUUGACGGAAGGGCACCACCAGGCGUGGAGCCUGCGGCUUAAUUUGACUCAACACGG
rnacentral:rRNA from 1 species